GGGCUAGUUUCAGAUUCGAUUGCGUGCGGAGAAUGAGAAAAGCAUACCAAAGGUCCGGCUUUGUAAAAACGGAAACUUAAAUUUAAAUGCAGAAUCCAAAGAUUCGAAAGUCGUAGCUUUCCCUUCGUUCAGAACGGCAGGCUUGGCUUGCGCCGCUUAAUCUAAACAGUGGUCCGUCGUGCCUUUUUCACCGUUGGAAAGGCUUCGGCGUUAAUUAAACGGUAAACGGUUUUCGCUCUUUGCCGUAAGCGUCAACCGUAAUUUGGCGGCAUGCGCCCUUUAAUUCCCGUCCGUCGGGAUUGAGGGGGUAAGUUUAAAGGCGGAAUAAGUAUGUAGAAAGCUCAGACGAAACCCGCAAGACUCGGGUGCAAGUCCCGACUGGUCCACCA
rnacentral:tmRNA from 1 species